AUUGAACGCUGGCGGCAGGCCUAACACAUGCAAGUCGAGCGGUUGAGGGGAGCUUGCUCCCUGAUUCAGCGGCGGACGGGUGAGUAAUGCCUAGGAAUCUGCCUAUUAGUGGGGGACAACGUUUCGAAAGGAACGCUAAUACCGCAUACGUCCUACGGGAGAAAGCAGGAGACCUUCGUGCCUUUCCCUAAUAGAGUAGCCGGGGUCGGAUUAGCUAGUUGGUGAGGUAAUGGCUCACCAAGGCGAAUAUCCGUAACUGGUCUGAGAGGAUGAUCAGUCACACUGGAACGGAGACACGGUCCAGACUGCUACGGGAGGCAGCAGUGGGGAAUAUUGGACAAUGGGCGAAAGCCUGAUCCAGCCAUGCCGCGUGUGUGAAGAAGGUCUUUGGAUUGUAAAGCACUUUAAGUUGGGAGGAAGGGUUGUAGAUUAAUACUCUGCAAUUUUGACGUUACCGACAGAAUAAGCACCGGCUAACUCUGUGCCAGCCGCCGCCGUAAGAC
rnacentral:rRNA from 1 species